rnacentral:rRNA from 1 species
AAACCCNUUGUCAAUUUGGAGUCACCCGUUGUUNUUUAUAAAGAAUGACAGGCCCUGAUAUGUGGCGGAANGAGGGAAGGGACGGGCUUAACUUCUGUGCCAGGCAGCCGCGGGUAAUACAGAGGUUCCCAGCGUUGUUCGGAUUCACUGGGCGUAAAGGGUGCGUAGGUGGCAGGGUAAGUCGAAUGUGAAAUCUCCGAGCUCAACUCGGAAAUGGCAUUGGAAACUGCUUGGCUCGAGGGUUGGAGGGGGGACUGGAAUACUUGGUGUAGCAGUGAAAUGCGUAGAUAUCAAGUGGAACACCAGUGGCGAAGGCGAGUCCCUGGACAACUCCUGACACUGAGGCACGAAAGCUAGGGGAGCAAACAGGAUUAGAUACCCUGGUAGUCCUAGCCGUAAACGGUGCACGUUUGCUGUAAAAGGAAUCGACCCCUUUUGUGGCGUAGCCAACGCGUUAAACGUGCCGCCUGGGAAGUACGGUCGCAAGAUUAAAACUCAAAGAAAUUGACGGGGGCCUGCACAAGCGGUGGAGUAUGUGGCUCAAUUCGAUGCAACGCGAAGAACCUUACCUGGCCUUGACAUGUACGUAGUAGAAGGGUGAAAGCCUGACGAGAUAGCAAUAUCAGCGUACACAGGUGCUGCAUGGCUGUCGUCAGCUCGUGUCGUGAGAUGUUGGGUUAAGUCCCGCAACGAGC